rnacentral:tRNA from 1 species
GGAAUUGUUGUAGGCGAGUUUCGUGCUUUGCAAGCAGGGGAUCAGGGGUUCGAAUCCCCUCACGUCCACCA